rnacentral:lncRNA from 10 species
UCGGGGUCCUUCUGACCCUCGGACUUCAUGUGUGUGUCUUCAGGAGCCUGCAGGACCACUGUGGGGCCACUGCCACCCUGUGGGGUGGUCCGGGGAGCCGAGGAGCAUGGACACCGUCUUCUCCUUCCAGCAGGCACAGGACACUUGUUAUUGCAGUCAGAGUCCAUCUGGAUAAUCCUGGAUAAAUCUCAUCUGGAGAUCCUUCACCAGAUCACAUCGGCAAUGACCUGUUCCCCAAAUAAGGCCCUGUGCACAGGUUCUGGGGUGCUAGGAGUGAGCCACCAUGCCUGGCCCAGUUUUUAAUGCUUGGACAUCUCCAAAAUCAGGACAUAUCUUGUAAUUGAAGACGUCUCACCAUAGCGGCCAGCCGUGCAACCACUGGGCCUGUCUGUGCCUGAACAACACACUGGCCUGCCUUUGCCUGAACAAGACAGCCUUAGUCUCAAAGCUUGCAGAUGGGUGUGGCCUGGUAGAAAAUUCUCAAGACAACGGCGGAGCACGCUUGCCCCUAGGAGACCAAGUGGCCGGAAUGUUGAGAAUCAGCCUUUCGCAGAAAUCCCCUAAGCGGGAGGCAGCAGGCUGACUCCAUCAGCCCCAGGCAGGCUUCUGGGCCCUGCAGCUAUGGCUCUUCAUCCUUUUACAUGUUCUUCGAGAAUCAGCUGCACCCUGGAUGCUUCUGACAGCUCAGAGGACAUCAGCAUGAGGACAAGCACAGGGCUUGAUGGCUCGGAGGGAAAUGGAGUUGGAAGAUUUGGACUUAAUGUGCACACAUUUUAGAAAUAUCUUAACAAAUUUUAUUUUGCUGAUAUCUUUCUUUUUUGUGUGUGCCAAAGUGAUGGCCAGUACAAAUCCAUGUCUAAUUAAGUCCAGAAGAGCUCCUUCAAUAAGCGUAAGAUGAAAGUUAUGAGUGAUAAGAAAGCGUCAUGUCAGUUUAAUUGGCAGCAUUUUCUCUUUCUUAGUGGUUCAUAAAAUAAGGCAGUGCUUUGCUAUCGACGG